rnacentral:lncRNA from 1 species
CAAAAUACCCUUUCUUAAGCAAUAUUUCUUCUAGCACAAAAAAAAAAAAAAGGUAUAGGAAAAACAGAAAAUAAUAAAAAGUUAGUUUAGUUUUGAAUGAAUCCAAGUGAACAUAGUGAACAUAAUGACAUAUCAUGCCAGUCACUGUUUAGGCAAAGAUUUCUCUCAAGGUUACAUAACUGCCGUCUGUAACUAGGAAACCAUCAUCUGGCUUGGUCUUCUGCGGUUUCCCAGUCAGCCUGUCAGAUCCUUGCCACAGCCUCACUUACAGCACCAAUAUUAUUUUGAAACAUUUAGUGGUUCAAAGGGUAGUUCAUAGGUACAAGAAAAAAUGUUCAAACUGUAGAAAUACUCUAAGUGAGAUGACAAUGUACUAUUUAUUGUUUAGCAAGCAAACAGUGGAAGGAACAAAUAAGUACCAGAACAGAUAGCUGUAAACAGAACACUUUAAAGCAGUCUAACAAUGUUUUAUAUUAAAUCAUCCAUUAACUUUCAUCCAGACGAGAUGAUGCUCUGUAUCGGAGGACUGCAUGAAAUGAUACAUUGGAAGACUCAGAUCCAGAAAACAACUUCAGCUCGUGUUGGUAAUUCUUCAUGCCUAGAGAUGUGGCAACUCUCAUUCUUUUCAAUUAUGUACCAGUUGGCUUUAACUGCUGUUUGAGGAGUCAUGCAUUGUUACUAAGGAUCCACAAGAGCAUUAGAAAACUUAGCAGGCG